AAAUGACAGCUCAGCUAAAACAGACUGAAAUCUGGCCUAGAAUCACUGUUUCAUGUAGUCUUUUACACCUGGAGUAUGUGAAGGUUACUCGUUACUGCUGAUUUCCACCACAGGUCUAGGUGAACUUGUGGGUCUUUACAGUCUUUAAAUGCCUGAAACUCUUCCCACACUCUGAGCAAUAAUGUGGUUUUACUCCUGUGCGAGUGCGCUGGUGGAUUUUAAGUGUAGCCCUGGUGCAGCGUUUCCCGUUUUUUUGCGAAUCAGGCAGGUAUAUGGGCAUCCGUAUCAGUAGCAUUGUGGUGUGGCUAAGCUAGGCACAACAGCGUUUGGUGGCCGCGGUUGCAGCAUCGGGCUGGCUUGAUUAAGAGACCGUGGUUUUAAGUGAGGGAUCGGCACAAACGAGGUGCCUCGGUUACUGGUGGUGUCGCGUUGGGAGCCGAGCCGAGCCGAGCCGAGCCGAGCCGUCGCUGUCCGCUUCACCAUAAACGUCUCGCCCCCGCUUGACGCUGGUUGCUGAUUUAAGCGCAGUCCUACAGUGGUUCAGGUCAUAUCUUACAACAUAUCAGUGGCUGGAGACACCAAAACCACACGAGAAAUCUACAACUUCCUCCAUCUCCACCAACAUUUCAUCUCAUCUGAACCUCCCACCAAUUAUGAACAAGCUGGUUUCAGCUGGGAUCAGGCUGUAGCCAUCUCUGUCAGCCCUUCUACCUUCGGUGAAAUAUUGGCCCAGCUUCUCCUCCACACUCAACUACUGCCACAGGGACCCAACAGCCCUCCUGCCCCAUCACAGUCACCAGUCACAGAUAAACUAUUAAACAUAGCUUCCUCAACACCUGCACCACCUUAAAGAAAGAGGCAAACUCUUCAACCACCAGAAAGGCAGCUUUGCUGUCUACCUCAUUGUCAACAGGAGCUCCACUCACCCUCCUCUGCUGAAAGGGAAAAGGUCACAUCAUUUCCAAGUAAUCCGGCAAACUGAUAUUUUUCACCUCAGUGCUGCUACAGUGAUGUCAGUAGUACGUGUUUUCAAAACAAGCUCGGACCCUGUGCUCCAGAAAUCUGUUCAUUUCGGUGCUUAGGAUCCCACCCUUCAGACCCUUCCUCACCCGAGAGGCUGCCCAGUUGCUAGUGCAGUCUCUUGUCAUCUCAAGGCUCGACUUAUGCAACUCGCUCUUGGCUGGUCUUCUCAUGCAGGCCAUCAACGCUACCUACUUGAUGGCAAAGGUGACGUGAAUAUUAUUGAAAAUCUGUGGUGUGAUUCAAAGUGGGCUGUCCAUGCUCGGAAACCAUCAAACCCGACUGAACUGGAGAUGUUUUGUAAAGAAGAAUGGUCCAAAAUACCUUAAACCAGAAUCCAGACUUUUUCUGUUGGGGUGCCCAAACUUAUGCACCUGCCUAAUUUUGUUUAAAUAAUUAUUGCACACUUUCUGU